rnacentral:rRNA from 1 species
UACAGAGGUCCCAAGCGUUGUUCGGAUUCACUGGGCGUAAAGGGUGCGUAGGCGGUCGGGUAAGUCUGACGUGAAAUCUCCGGGCCUAACCCGGAAACUGCGUCGGAUACUAUCCGGCUAGAGGAUUGGAAGGGAGACUGGAAUACUUGGUGUAGCAGUGAAAUGCGUAGAUAUCAAGUGGAACACCAGUGGCGAAGGCGAGUCUCUGGACAAUUCCUGACACUGAGGCACGAAAGCCAAGGGAGCAAACAGG